CGUGGGGAACCUGCCCCAUAGUCUGGGAUACCACUUGGAAACAGAUGCUAAUACCGGAUAAGAAAGCGGAUCGCAUGAUCAGCUUUUAAAAGGCGGCGUAAGCUGUCGCUAUGGGAUGGCCCCGCGGUGCAUUAGCUAGUUGGUAAGGUAAAGGCUUACCAAGGCGAUGAUGCAUAGCCGAGUUGAGAGACUGAUCGGCCACAUUGGGACUGAGACACGGCCCAAACUCCUACGGGAGGCAGCAGGC
rnacentral:rRNA from 1 species